rnacentral:misc_RNA from 1 species
GUAGGUGAACCUGCGGAAGGAUCAUUAACGAGUUUGGGUCCUCGGGGCCCCAUCUCCCACCCCUGUCUACCCCACCACGCUGCGUGAGCGGGACCGCUCCCCGUGGAGCCGCCGGCGGUCUCGAUCGCCGGCCCGCGCCCGCCAGCAGCGCCCCCAUCCAUUCCACCGUGUCUACCCUACCGAAAUAAUCAGCAAAACUUUCAACAACGGAUCUCUUGGUUCUGGCAUCGAUGAAGAACGCAGCAUCUGA